GAUGAACGCUGGCGGCGUGCCUAAUACAUGCAAGUCGAGCGAACAGACGAGGAGCUUGCUCCUCUGACGUUAGCGGCGGACGGGUGAGUAACACGUGGAUAACCUACCUAUAAGACUGGGUUAACUUCGGGAAACCGGAGCUAAUACCGGAUAAUAUAUUGAACCGCAUGGUUCAAUAGUGAAAGACGGUUUUGCUGUCACUUAUAGAUGGAUCCGCGCCGCAUUAGCUAGUUGGUAAGGUAACGGCUUACCAAGGCAACGAUGCGUAGCCGACCUGAGAGGGUUAUCGGCCACACUGGAACUGAGACACGGUCCAGACUCCUACGGGAGGCAGCAGUAGGGAAUCUUCCGCAAUGGGCGAAAGCCUGACGGAGCAACGCCGCGUGAGUGAUGAAGGUCUUCGGAUCGUAAAACUCUGUUAUUAGGGAAGAACAAAUGUGUAAGUAACUAUGCACGUCUUGACGGUACCUAAUCAGAAAGCCACGGCUAACUACGUG
rnacentral:rRNA from 1 species